AGACGGAGGGCGCAAGCGUUGUUCGGAAUUACUGGGCGUAAAGGGCAGGUAGGUGGUCUGUUAAGUCUUCUGUGAAAAUCCGGGGCUCAACCCCGCGAAAUGCAGGUGAAACUGGCAGACUUGAGACCGGUAGAGGCUAGCGGAAUUCCUGGUGUAGCGGUGGAAUGCGUAGAUAUCAGGAAGAACACCUGUGGCGAAGGCGGCUAGCUGGGCCGGUUCUGACACUGAACUGCGAAAGCGUGGGGAGCAAACAGGAUUAGAAACCCGAGUAGUCC
rnacentral:rRNA from 1 species